UGUAAAACCGGUUCCCAUAUGAUCACCAAAGUUAAGCAAUAUUGAGCCUAGUCAGUACCUAGAUGAGUGACCACUGGGGAAUAUCAGGUGCUGUA